rnacentral:rRNA from 1 species
UACGUAGGGUGCGAGCGUUGCCCGGAUUUAUUGGGCGUAAAGGGCGCGUAGGCGGCCCGGUAAGUCAAAGGUGAAAUCCCUCGGCUCAACUGAGGAACUGCCUUUGAAACUGUCGGGCUUGAGGCCGGGAGAGGGUAGUGGAAUUCCUGGUGUAGCGGUGAAAUGCGCAGAUAUCAGGAGGAACACCCGUGCGAAGGCGGCUCUCUGGAAGCGCAACUGGACGCUGAGACGCGAAAGCGUGGGGAGC